CCGACUGCGUAUGCCUAAUAUUAACUCUCAUGGGAAAAGGAUGUUUCAUUGAAUCAUAUAUGGAUCACUGGGCUUUUGAAUUUUCAUUUAAUUCAUAUAAUUCACAUGAAUUUCGGACGUUAAAUUUUCAAGUGCAAAAACUCACGCAAACUGGCAAUUUCCGAUUAAUUCGCUGUCAUCACAUACAUUCGGUAUCUGCAAAGUUUCACGCCUACACCCUACGGGGACAUUGGUGAAAAAUAUUUUCUAAUAGAAAGUGAUUCUACUAAUAGUGUGAUGAGAAAAAUAGAA